GGUAGGACUGGGAUAACAUUUUGCAUAAUUCAGUAUAGAUAUCAAGUUUGGAAUGACAAAGGAAUGUUGUAUUUGGGAUUUGGAGUUGGUUGCAUGAAUAGAUGUAUGAUUCAUGCUUUGGAUUGUCUAAAGCUUGGCUGAGUUUAAACCUAGUUAUACUUGUAUCUAUGGGAUAUCAGUGUAUUGUGUUUUGCAUUAGCAUGCAUCG
rnacentral:lncRNA from 1 species